rnacentral:rRNA from 1 species
AUGAGGACAACCAAAGGAGGAUGCAUUGGAUGGCUUGGUGGAAAAUGUGUGUACCCAAGAACCGAGGAGGAAUUGAUCCAUUGUUUCAAUUUGGUUAUGCUUGCUAAACAGGCUUGGCGUCUUAUCGAGAAUCUGGAUUCUCUAUGUGCUACUAUUUUGAGAGUCAAAUACUAUCCUGACGGUGACUUGUUGAACACUGGCCUGAAGAACGGUUCUUCCUUCACCUGGCAAAGUAUUAUGGCGGGUGUGAGCUCCCUGAAGCGUGGUCAUAUUUGGCGAGUGGGAAAUGGGCAGAAUAUUGACAUUUGGGAGGGCGCCUGGAUUCCAAACUGUGCAAACCAUAAAAUUGUUACCCCUAAGGGAGGCCAGUUGUUACGGAAGGUAGCAGAUUUGACUGAACCAAUCCUAAAUAGUUGGGAUGAAGAUCUUCUCAGACAUACUCUAUGGCCUAUUGAUGUUCAGCGAGUGCUUGUGAUCCCGAUAUCGCAACAUGAUAUGCUAGAUUUCGUAGCUUGGAAUCUCACAAAAAAUGGGAUCUUUUCGAUUCGGUCUGCUUAUUUUGUGGAAUGGGACGACCAAUAUGGGAACAAUUUACGACAUACCAAUGGGAUGGGACGUACCACGGUCAAUCCUAUUUGGGGGGAGGCUUUGGAAACUUGCUUGUCCAGCAAAGGUUAA